UUACGGUCAAAUCACGCUGAAAACACCGGUUCUCGUUCGAUCACCGAAGUUAAGCAUCUUAGAUGGGGGACCGCUUGGGAACACCUGGUACUGUAA